rnacentral:lncRNA from 1 species
ACCGCUGAAGGUGACGUAGAAUUCAAGGCUGUCCUGUUUGUGCCUCCUAAGGCUCCUCAUGAUCUAUAUGAGAGCUACUAUAAUGCCAAUAAAUCCAACUUGAAGUUGUAUGUUAGAAGGGUUUUCAUAUCAGAUGAAUUUGAUGAGCUUUUGCCAAAGUAUCUGAAUUUUUUGAAGGUAAUGCAGGAUUUGUUUAAGUUCUUGCAAUUAGGUUUAUGAGAUUGAUUUUUACAUGCUUACCAAAACUGGUUUUUACAUGCUUACCAAAUCUGGUUUUUACAUUGAUGAUCUUAUGAUCAGGGUCUUGUUGAUUCUGAUACCUUGCCACUCAAUGUAUCACGAGAAAUGCUUCAACAACACAGCAGUUUGAAGACAAUUAAGAAGAAGCUCAUCCGGAAAGCCCUUGAUAUGAUCCGUAAACUUGCUGAGGAAGAU